UACAGGGGGGGCAAGCGUUGUUCGGAAUUACUGGGCGUAAAGGGUCUGUAGGUGGCCAACUAAGUCAGACGUGAAAUCCCUCAGCUUAACUGGGGAACUGCGUCUGAUACUGGAUGGCUUGAGUUUGGGAGAGGGAUGCGGAAUUCCAGGUGUAGCGGUGAAAUGCGUAGAUAUCUGGAGGAACACCGGUGGCGAAGGCGGCAUCCUGGACCAACACUGACACUGAGGAGCGAAAGCCAGGGGAGCAAACGGG
rnacentral:rRNA from 1 species